rnacentral:rRNA from 1 species
GUUCGGGGGGACAGGGUGACAGGUGGUGCAUGGUUGUCGUCAGCUCGUGUCGUGAGAUGUUGGGUUAAGUCCCGCAACGAGCGCAACCCUCGACCUUAGUUGCCAGCAUUCAGUUGGGCACUCUAAGGUAACUGCCGGCUAAAAGUCGGAGGAAGUGGGGAUGACGUCAAAUCAUCAUGCCCCUUAUGACCUGGGCUACACACGUGCUACAAUGGGCGGUACAAAGGGUCGCGAACCCGCGAGGGGGAGCCAAUCCCAAAAAGCCGCUCUCAGUUCGGAUUGCAGGCUGCAACUCGCCUGCAUGAAGCCGGAAUCGCUAGUAAUCGCGGAUCAGCAUGCCGCGGUGAAUACGUUCCCGGGCCUU